AAUUUUGGACAAUGGGGGAAACGCUGAUCCAGCCAUCCCGCGUGUAUGAUGAAGGCCUUCGGGGUAUAAAUUACUUUUGGCAGAGAAGAAUAGGUAUCCACUACUACGGGAUGCUGCUGACGGUAUCUGCAUAAUCAGCACCGGCUAACUACGUGCCAGCAGCCGCGGUAAUACGUAGGGUGCAAGCGUUAAUCGGAAUUACUGGGAGUAAAGCGUGUGUAGGCGGUUCAGAAAGAAAGAUGUGAAAUACCAGGGCUAAACCUUGGAACUGCAUUUUUAACUGCCGAGCUAGAGUAUGUCAGAGGGGGGUAGAAUUCCACGUGUAGCAGUGAAAUGCGUAGAUAUGUGGAGGAAUACCGAUGGCGAAGGCAGCCCCCUGGGAUAAUACUGACGCUCAGACACGAAAGCGUGGGGAGCAAACAGG
rnacentral:rRNA from 1 species